UACGAAGGGGGCUAGCGUUGUUCGGAAUUACUGGGCGUAAAGGGCUCGUAGGUGGCCAACUAAGUCAGACGUGAAAUCCCUCAGCUUAACUGGGGAACUGCGUCUGAUACUGGAUGGCUUGAGUUCGGGAGAGGGAUGCGGAAUUCCAGGUGUAGCGGUGAAAUGCGUAGAUAUCUGGAGGAACACCGGUGGCGAAGGCGGCAUCCUGGACCGACACUGACACUGAGGAGCGAAAGCCAGGGGAGCAAACGGG
rnacentral:rRNA from 1 species